rnacentral:lncRNA from 1 species
CUAUGAAAUAACACAUAUGGAAUCAUGUAGUAACCAAAAAAGUGUUAAACAAAUCAAAAAAUAUUUUAUAUUUGAGGUUUUUCAAAGUAGCCACCCUUUGCCUUGAUGACAGCUUUGCACACUCUUGGCAUUCUCUCAACCAGCUACACCUGGUAAAAGUGUCACACCCUGCUCUGUUUCACCUGUCUUUGGGCUUGUCUCCACCCCCUCCAGGUGUCGCACAUCUUCCCCAUUAUCCCCUGUGCAUUUAUACUUGUGUUCUCUGUUUGUCUGUUGCCAGUUUGUCUUGUCUCGUCAAGCCUACCAGCGUGUUUAUCAGAAUGGCAGGCAGGCUUACGCCUGUUUCCUUGAGCCCGUUUUCUGUUUUUUGAUCAUUUUGCCUGCCCUGAGCCUGCCUGCAGUUCUGUACCUUUUGCCACUGCCCUGGAUUAAUGACAAUAUUGUAAGAAAGUUUCAUUUUAUUGCUCAAAACAUGUUACAAAUAGCAGAGGCCUGCCCCCGACCCUGAGCUUGCCGCUCUGUACCUUACGAACUCCGCCCUGGACUACCAACCCCUGCCUGCCCUUGACCAGUCCUAUGCCUGCCCCCUGUUUAUAUAAUAAACAUCCAUUAUUCGAACUGUCUGCAUCUGGGUCUUUUCCUGAGUCAUGAUAAAAAGACCAAGUCCAUAUUAUGGCAAGAACAGCUCAAAUAAGCAAAGAGAAAUGACAGUCCAUCAUUACUUUAAGACAUGAAGGGUUACUUCUGCUGCGGAGGAUAAGUUCAUCUGCGUUAACUGCACCUCAGAUUGCAGCCCAAAUAAAUGCUUCACAGAGUUCAAGUAACAAGACACAUCUCAACAUCAACUGUUCAGAAGAGACUGCGUGAGUCAGGCCUUCAUGGUUGAAUUGCUGCAAAGAAACCAGUACUAAAGGACACCAAUAAUAAGAAGAGACUUGCUUGGGCCAAGAAACACAAGCAAUGGACAUUAGACCUGUGUAAAUCUGUCCUUUGGUCUGAUGAGUCAAAAUGUGAUAUUUUUGGUUCCAACCGCCGUGUCUUUGUGAGACGUAGAGUAGGUGAACGGAUGAUCUCUGCAUGUGUGGUUCCCACCGUGAAGCCUGGAGGAGGAGGUGUGAUGGUGUGGGCAUGCUUUGCUGAUGACACUGUAUGUGAUUUAUUUAGAAUUCAAGGCACACUUAACCAGCAUGGCACCCACAGCAUUCUGCAGCGAUACGCCAUCCAAUCUGGUUUGCGCUUAGUGGGACUAUAAUUUGUUUUUCAACAGGACAAUGACCCAAAACACACCUUCAGGCUGUGUAAGGGCUAUUUGACCAAGAAGGAGAGUGAUGGAGUGCUGCAUCAGAUGACCUGGCCUCCCUAAUCACCCGACCUCAUCCCAAUUGAUAAGUUGGACCGCAGAGUGAAGGAAAUGCAGCCAAAUAGUGCUCAGCAUAUGUGGGAACUUCUUCAAGACUCUUGGAAAAGCAUUCCAGGUGAAGCUGGUUGAGAGAAUGCCAAGAAUGUGCAAUGCCGUCAUCAAGGCAAAG